UUUCCGUGGGUGAACCUGCGGAAGGAUCAUUCAUAAUAAAGUGUUUUAUGGCACUUUUAAAAUCCAUAUCCACCUUGUGUGCAAUGUUAGAUCUCGUCAAUCUUGGCGAGAUUUUUAUACAUCAACUCAUUCUUUAACUAAUUUGUCUGAAAAAUAUUAUGAAUACUUAAUUCAAAAUACAACUUUCAACAACGGAUCUCUUGGCUCUC
rnacentral:misc_RNA from 1 species